GGCGCCUCCUGACACUGGAAGCCAGCUCUGGAACCCAAGAGCUGAAGCUCCUAAAACACUAUUUCCGUCUUCAUUUAAUCAUUUCUUGCAUCAACUGUUGAACAUUUUAAACUCUUAUCAGAUUCCUUAAUCCAUGGAAAGCAAUUCCAUAUUCUAUUCAAUGUCAUCAAUCCAAUCACCAUAUAUCCUACUGAUUUUGUCGGGGCCUUUCCAUUUUUGAUGAGUUCUUUGCCCUGGCCUUUGGAUCAAAAUGGAUGAUGGCCUUUGCGAUGGAACGCUGUGGUGAUAGACAUCUGAAUGGGGAACUGUAGUAACAGAUGCAACCACAGUUUCUGCUGCAGUUUUCAAAGGCACCCCUCCCUGCUUUGGUUCAGUAGGGACUGAAGCAUCUUUAGCUUCCGACUCCACAAGCCCUCCACCAUACCUGUGCAACUCUCCAGCUCCAUGGGCAAAAUGGCACUUACUCCCAAAUGGGCAAUACCCAGUGAGUUCCCACUUGUUACAAAUUCUUGUCUUCCAAUUUGAUGGCUUAACAUUCCCUCCACUCGCACUUCCACUUGUCCCUCCGCCUCCUGUGACCCCUCCAUACCCUCCUGGCCCCAAACUUAUUGCCACGCUCUCCCUGUUCUUUGACUGCUCAUCAUGCAAAAAUGUACAAUUAUCUCCGUAUGGGCACCCCUCCUCUGUAUAAAACUUCUUGCAAUGUCUCCCUUUAUAAGACCUCUGUGAAUCCCCUCCAAAUCCCCCUAUAGAUGGAAUUUGAAACUCCUCUCUUAUCUCCAUUAUAUUCCCUUUAUCUUCCUCAUGUGCUGCUACAAUUUCCUGCCAGUUUGAAGGCGGGCGUCGAAGCUCCUCUAUGCUAUGGGCAAAGUUGCAGUUUGUAACGUAUGGGCAUGUGCCAGCCCGGAACUUGCAGCACAGUUUGGUCUUGAAAAACAUUUUCCCUAUGGAUUUCUUGGAAGUCAAUUCUUGGGAGUUGUUUUUGGAUUUCUUGUUUGGUGGUUCACUGCCAGAGCGCGUAUGGGAGGACUGAAAGUUCGAAUUGGAGGGAGUGCUAUCGGAAGGGCUGUCAAAGUUGUUCCAAGCAUGAUAAUCAUCUUCUGUGGCCCAAACAGAACUAGAAUCAGUAGAAUUUGGAAACCAAUUCUCAGGUCCUGUUCCAGGAAUUACAUGGACAACGUUUGCACUGGAAAAAUCUCUACCAUAAUCCAUCUUCUAACCAAAACCCACUAACCAAAGAUAUUAAAGUUGUGGAAUUUGGAGAUAAAGCUCUAACUACUAAUCAAAUGAUAGUAGAGUAUAAACCGGGACACCCCUGAACUCAAAUUGAUUGAAUUGAGAAGAAAUGAAGUAGCUAAAAUAUGGAAAGUGGUUAUUUUAAUAAAAUCUUCAAGGAUUGA
rnacentral:misc_RNA from 1 species